rnacentral:lncRNA from 1 species
ACGGGCCCUAGCGGCUUGGCGGAGCUGGAGCCCUCCCUGGCAGUGCGUCGCGCUGGGCUAUGGCCCCCUCCUCUCCGGGGGAUCGUCGCCUUGGUACCCCGACCCUAGGAGUCGGGCAGGGCAGAACCAGGCUAAAGAAACGUCCAGCGUAGCUUCAAGGAUGCACCGCGUCAUCCCUAUCGGAUCUCCCCGACGCGUCAGGCCUGCCUAGACGGUGUUGGGAGCGCGUCUCCUUGAACGUUGUCCCGCCUGGGAUUGCGAGGGCUCACCUGAAACUUCAUGUACCAUUGCACUUCCUGAGAAGCUGUCCCCAAUCCCAGGCUCCUAGCAAUGCUGUUCCAGUAAUCUCUCUUCUGUAAGACAGCCACUCCACCCACUGCAGUCUACAAGGAAAGCCUCCAUAGCUCUGAUUAUUCAGUAAGAACAGUCUCAGGAAAACAGGACCUUCAACAGAGAUAAGAGAAUUAAAAUAUGCAGACUAACAACUCUGGGAAUGGGCUGACCAGCCUGAUAAGAAUAGGCUGAUGGCACCUACAGAAGGCCACAAAACACUGACCAAGAAAGCAAUGACCAACAAAGCAAUGACCUGAGACUGCACAUUUCACAAGAAUGUUUUGAUCAUCAUUUUUUCUAAUUUCCCUUAAAAACCCCUGAUAUGGAGACAGAACUCGGCGGUCUUUGAACACUAGUUCACUGCCUCCCCUGGGUUGUUGGAUUCCUGAAUAAAGCUAACCAUCCUUUCACCAAUGCUCAUCUCUUGAACUUUCAAGUGACAAGUGGUCUGGACCUGAAUUUCGUUACAAAACCUAUGUAUACCUUACCUUACAUGGCAAAGGGGACUUUAGAAGUGCAAUUAAAUUAAGGAUCUUGAGAGGGGGUUAUCCUGGAUUAUCUGGUUGGGCCCAAUGUAUUUGUAAGUGAUAGAGGGAGGCAGGUGAGUAAAAAAAGGAAACGUGAUGAUGAAAGCACAAGUCAAAAUGUGAUUGCUGGCUUUGAAAAUGGAUGGAAGCCACACCCCAGGGAUCGUGGACAGCCUUUAGAACCAGAAAAGGACAAGGAAACAGAUUCUCCAGUCCUCUAGAACCUCCAGAAGGAACAUGGCUCUGCUAAUACUAUGAUAUUAGCCCUUUCAGACUGAUUUCAGACUUCUGACCAGCAGAGGUAUAAAUCAUAAUUAUAUUGAUUUAAGCCACUGAAUUAGUGGUUAUUAGUAACGGCAGCAACAGGAAACUAUAUCAGCAACAAGACUCCCUCCUUCAUAGAACCCAAUUCCCAACCAAUUUUCAAACUUUCACAGAAAAUCUUGCCACACACUGAGACUAGGAACAUCCAACAAAAAAAUGCUAUCACUUUCAAAUGGAAAACCCAGGAUUGUAGAGAAGAUCAAAUUUUGUCAUGUAUCACAUUUAAACACUCAUCUCUACCUCACCAAACCGUGGUACUAAUGUGUACCAAUCUUAAAAGGAGGUAUUUCUGUUCCCUCAGAGUUCUGGGCAGAAGACUAUGCCUGUGGACAAUGUAGAAUUAUCUGCUGAAUGAAUAUCUGAAAACUGUUUGGAGAGGGGAAAAGCAUUGAGAAGAAUUGGGCUCUUUGCUACUAUUACUCGCUAGAAUGGGAGACGUUUGGAAGCAGUUCCCUUAAGGAACCAAACAAGGCAGGAAAUUCUGGGAUAAAUCUGGUGUUCACAUUACACAACAAAAUGAUUGUACUUCAACAAGGAAAGAAACAGCAACUCACGUGGGGCAUGGUUUUUUAGAACUGAUCAAUUUUCUGGGUUCUUCUCCUGGAGGUGUGCAAAGUCCAGAGAAGCCAGUGCUGGACAAGGAACAAAAGCCACAAGAUUAGACUUGGCUCACAGCCCACAAAAUAAACUACUUAGAACUACCUUUACUUCUCCUCUUUUGGGAAUUUGGAAAAAAUCUCAGUUCUUCCACAAACCCAAUGGAAGCCAGCUACUGCAGAAGGGGUUCAGGCAGACCUUUCCUUAAUGUCCAUGUUGAACAGGACCCUAGGUGCUGUUACUUUCCCAUGGCAUCUCCUCCUCCACAGUAGAACAGAGGCAUGCCCAGGGAGCCCCCCACCAUCCUCCUGGACCCAAACACUAAGUCAGGUACUUUGCUCCCAAUCUUAGGAAGGGGCUUCAGAGACCAAAAUGUGGCCUUCUUUCAGAUGUCAUGAACAUCAGCUAGACUCACAGACAUUUUGACAGACAUAUCAGGGUCAACAGAUCCAAAACAGUCUCAUCCCACUCCCCUGAAUCUAGUUCUUUCCUGCCUGUUUACUCUUCCCUAUAAAAGAAAAUUCCUUUAUGCCUGACCUUUGCUAUGCUUGCAGAUCUUAUGGCUGGAGUAUUCUCCCAAUUACAACACCUCCUCCCUUACUGCAGUGUUCCUGUGAAUAAAGUCAUUCCUUACCAAAGUCUGGAUUUGUUUUUUUAUUUCACAGGUUGAAUAACUUUUGUAGAAUAACAAAACAAACUAUUUUAACUGUAACCUAAUUCUCCAAGCCAUGGCACACACAGAAGCACGGAGGGUCAAAUAGGAGCAACAUCCACAUGACAGCCAAUGUGCGCACAGCACGCCCCCUCUUGCAAUAUGACUUCAAGAUUGAGCAAGUUCCCCAACUACAGCCACCUACUUGCCAUAGUUGUGUAGCACUGAUCUUUUUUUUUUUUGGUAGCAUUGAUCUUGCAUACAUGUAUAAUCCAUGAACUUAACAUCAAUGUUGCUUGUGUGAUACCAAGAAAACCCAGUAAGAGAGCAAGUAAAUAAUUUAAGUAAGAUUUUGUUGGGUAUAGUUGAGCUUUGAAGCACCAUAAGCCAUUGUACUAAGAUUUUGUCCUCCCCGCUAACCAAUUUUCACCUCCUUUGAGGCAAUAUCAUCGUCAUUAAGAAUACAUGGGUUGGCUGCACGCAGUGGCUCACGCCUGUAAUCCCAGGGAGGCCGAGGCAGGCAGAUCACUUGAGGUCAGGAGUUCAAGACCAGCCUGGCCAACAUGGCUACUAAAAAAUACAAAAAUUAGCCAGGCAUGGUGGCACAUGCCUGUAGUCCCAGCUACUUGGGAGGCUAAGGCAGAAGAAUCACUUGUACGCGGGAGGUGGA